AUUAUUUUUAUUUAUUUAUUUAUUUGUCUUGUUUUGUAGGCUUUAGGAAGGGAUGAAUGGGAGUUUUGAUGGCCCACUCUACAAGUUUUUAAUGAAGGAUCUAAAAUUAAGCUAGGGAAGAAAGAAGAUGAAGAAGCUGAUGAAAUAUAGCAGUACCUAUGGCAGUCAUUGCUUCUUUUAGGAAAAUGAAAAAGCUUGUCCAAGACAUUUCAUUGGUUGAGGCUGCACUUAGGACCUCGUCUCAGCUUGUUGUAAGUUCUGAUGGAAAGAAAGUGAAGCGAUUGCAUGCAUUGCCAGAUAUUGACAUCGAAGAUGCAAAGGUAUUUCUAUGAUGGCUUCUUGAUCAUUUUCACAGCAAUCUGAUAC